GAUGAACGCUGGCGGCGUGCCUAAUACAUGCAAGUCGAGCGAAUGGAUUAAGAGCUUGCUCUUAUGAAGUUAGCGGCGGACGGGUGAGUAACACGUGGGUAACCUGCCCAUAAGACUGGGAUAACUCCGGGAAACCGGGGCUAAUACCGGAUAACAUUUUGAACCGCAUGGUUCGAAAUUGAAAGGCGGCUUCGGCUUUCACUUAUGGAAGGACCGGCGUCGCAUUAGCUAGUUGGUGAGGUAAGGGCUCACCAAGGCAACGAUGCGUAGCCGACCUGAGAGGGUGAUCGGCCACACUGGGACUGAGACACGGCCCAGACUCCUACGGGAGGCAGCAGUAGGGAAUCUUCCGCAAUGGACGAAAGUCUGACGGAGCAACGCCGCGUGAGUGAUGAAGGCUUUCGGGUCGUAAAACUCUGUUGUUAGGGAAGAACAAGUGCUAGUUGAAUAAGCUGGCACCUUGACGGUACCUAACCAGAAAGCCACGGCUAACUACGUGCCAGCAGCCGCAGUAA
rnacentral:rRNA from 1 species